rnacentral:rRNA from 1 species
ACCUUUUGUAUAAUGGGUCAGCGAGUUACUUUCAGUGGCGAGGUUAACUGAAUAAGGGAGCCGUAGAGAAAUCGAGUCUGAAUAGGGCGAUAGUCGCUGGGAGUAGACCCGAAACCGGGCGAUCUAGCCAUGUGCAGGAUGAAGGUUGGGUAACACCAACUGGAGGUCCGAACCGGGUAAUGUUGAAAAAUUAUCGGAUGACGUGUGGCUAGGAGUGAAAGGCUAAUCAAGCCCGGAGAUAGCUGGUUCUCCCCGAAAGCUAUUUAGGUAGCGCCUCGUGAAUGAUUACUGGGGGUAGAGCACUGUUUCGGCUAGGGGGCUGUCAUGGCUUACCAAACCGAUGCAAACUCCGAAUACCGGCUAAUUGGAUCACGGGAGACACACGGCGGGUGCUAACGUCCGUCGUGGAGAGGGAAACAACCCAGACCGCCAGCUAAGGUCCCCAAGUACUAGUUAAGUGGGAAACGAUGUGGGAAGGCAUAGACAGCCAGGAGGUUGGCUUAGAAGCAGCCACCCUUUAAAGAAAGCGUAAUAGCUCACUGGUCGAGUCGGCCUGCGCGGAAGAUGUAACGGGGCUAAAACUAGUCACCGAAGCUGCGGAUGUGCGCGAAGGCGCACGUGGUAGGGGAGCGUUCUGUAGGCUGAUGAAGGUGCAUUGAGAAGUGUGCUGGAGGUAUCAGAAGUGCGAAUGCUGACAUGAGUAACGAUAAUGUGGGUGAAAAGCCCACACGCCGGAAGUCCCAGGUUUCCUGCACGACGUUAAUCGGAGCAGGGUGAGUCGGCCCCUAAGGCGAGGCUGAAGAGCGUAGUCGAUGGGAACCAGGUUAAUAUUCCUGGACUUUUUAUAAGUGGUGAAGUGGGGACGAAGAAGGCUAGGUGAGCCAGGCGUUGGUUGUCCUGGUACUUGCAUGUAGGGGGGAAGACUUGGCAAAUCCGGUUUUCCAUAACUCUGAGGUGCGAAGUGGUUCUGACCUUUUGGUACAGAGAAGUCAUUGAUGCCCGGCUUCCAGGAAAAGCUGCUAGCCAUAACUUAUAGAGAACCGUACCGCAAACCGACACAGGUGGACAGGUAGAGAAUACUAAGGCGCUUGAGAGAACUCGGGUGAAGGAACUAGGCAAAAUGGUACCGUAACUUCGGGAGAAGGUACGCCCUUUUGGGUGAGGGCAUUUACUGUCUGAGCUUAAGAGGGCCGCAGAGACCAGGUGGCUGCGACUGUUUAUUAAAAACACAGCACUCUGCAAAUUCGUAAGAAGACGUAUAGGGUGUGACGCCUGCCCGGUGCCGGAAGGUUAAUUGAUGGGGUUAUCUUCGGAGAAGCUCUUGAUCGAAGCCCCGGUAAACGGCGGCCGUAACUAUAACGGUCCUAAGGUAGCGAAAUUCCUUGUCGGGUAAGUUCCGACCUGCACGAAUGGCGUAACGAUGGCCACACUGUCUCCACCCGAGACUCAGUGAAAUUGAAAUCGCUGUGAAGAUGCAGUGUACCCGCGGCUAGACGGAAAGACCCCGUGAACCUUUACUAUAGUUUUGCACUGGACUUUGAUGAUGACUGUGUAGGAUAGGUGGGAGGCUGUGAAGUGAGGACGCUAGUUCUCAUGGAGCCGCCCUUGAAAUACCACCCUGUUGUUAUUGAGGUUCUAACUUGGUCCAGUAAUCCUGGAUGAGGACAGUGUAUGAUGGGUAGUUUGACUGGGGCGGUCUCCUCCCAAAGAGUAACGGAGGAGCACAAAGGUACCCUCGGUACGGUCGGACAUCGUACCAAGAGUGUAAAGGCAAAAGGGUGCUUGACUGCGAGAGUGACGGCUCGAGCAGGAACGAAAGUUGGUCUUAGUGAUCCGGUGGUUCUGAAUGGAAGGGCCAUCGCUCAACGGAUAAAAGGUACUCCGGGGAUAACAGGCUGAUACCGCCCAAGAGUUCAUAUCGACGGCGGUGUUUGGCACCUCGAUGUCGGCUCAUCACAUCCUGGGGCUGAAGCAGGUCCCAAGGGUAUGGCUGUUCGCCAUUUAAAGUGGUACGCGAGCUGGGUUUAGAACGUCGUGAGACAGUUCGGUCCCUAUCUGCCGUGGGCGUAGGAAAAUUGAGAGGAGCUGCUCCUAGUACGAGAGGACCGGAGUGGACGAACCUCUGGUGCACCGGUUGUCACGCCAGUGGCAUGGCCGGGUAGCUAAGUUCGGACGGGAUAACCGCUGAAAGCAUCUAAGCGGGAAGCCUCCCUCAAGAUGAGUUUUCCCAUGAAGCCCGUUGAAGACUACGACGUUGAUAGGCAAGGUGUGGAAGCGCAGUAAUGCGUGAAGCUAACUUGUACUAAUUGGCUGAUUGUCUUGACCAU